GUAGGACUGCUGGAAACAACCUUUCGAAGGUGAAAAGCCGUAGUUUCGAAGUUUUUCCUAGAGAGAAAGACAUGCAGCUGAAAGUGAUGAUUGUGGGCCUGGCCAUUUUUGGACUUAUCGUGGCAGAGAGUGGUGCCAUGCCGGCCAGCAGCGUCAGUGAGGCCGAGGCCAGGACUGAUCCCGAGUCUGCUGAGCGUGCCGAGCAGAGCAAUGCCGAGGAGGCACGCUACAGCGACGCAUGCCUUAAGACCAUUUGCGGGUAGUACCCUGGUCCGUGAAGGUGGCACGUUUGAAGCAAGAAGUUGAAAGAAACACCUCGAACGAAGUUGAGAGAUGAUCCAGCGCGCGACACCAGUGGCCGUUGCGGCUGCGUUACAUGUUCUUGCGCAAUAAAUGAAGCCG